CUGGGCUCAUCAAGGUGGGCAGCUCGCGCUAUCGGGAAAAGUGUCGCUACACAGGUGAAUGCUGGUCCACUCGCCUAUGCGGAAGCCUUCCUGAAUGUGGAUGUGGUGGGAAAAUACAAGGAGCAGAAAGUAGAAGCCUUGAAAAAUGUCUUCAGAGAAUUUAUCAAUGUAUGCAAAGAAGGUCUUGACCUGAACGCUCAACUUAUAACAACCGAUCAAAAGGAAUACCACGAGUCGCUCAAAGUGGGCUUCAAUGAAACCGUCGAACGACUGUCAACCCUUGUUUGGUGAAAAGUUGCCCAUUCACUUAGAACAAACUGAAGAUUCCGCUAACAGACAGUCUUAACAACUUCCGAUACUCGUACAAUUUCGUGAACCCUGCCCAGGGAUCAAGCAGUGCUUGAGAAGAAAAAAACAUUUACCAUACAGUGUCACGCAGGAAUCUGAAACAUCAAGUAUCAGCAACGUGUAUCAAGUAACGUAGAACAUCAAUUAUCGGCAACGUGUAUCAAGUAACCUAAAGCAUCAAGUAUCGGCAACGUGUAUUAGUGUAUCAAGCAACCUAGAACAUCAAGUAUCGGCAACAUGUAUCGGUGUAUCAAGUAUCGGCAACAUGUAUCGGUGUAUCAAGCAACCUAGAACAUCAAGUAUCAGCAAUGUGUAUCGGUGUAUCGGCAUCUGCUGUUAGUUCAUAUUAUAUCCAGAUAUUAUAUAUAAACUGGUUUGUGCCCAGAACAGACAUGCUUGAACUUCUUUUGGAUUUAUGUUUGUUACAUGUUGACAGACAAGACAGGCAUUGAAGACAGAAGAUAUAUUAUACAAUGUGGCUGCAACCAAAUCCUCUUGAAGUAAAAACCGAGGGGCCAUGUUCAGUCACUAAUCAGUCCUAGUGCAAAGAUUGUUUCUUGGAACGGGUCCUAAGGGCCCAAUUCAAUUCAAUCUUGCAACUUUGUAAUGCAAAAAGGCUUGCAAGGACAAUAUAAUGUUGUUUAAAAGA